UUGUCGAUAAGGGGGCAAAUUUUUGGACAAAGGGAAUAUUGUAUUUUUUGCAAGUUUCUAGAUUCAUCAAUGCUAACAGAAAAACAUAGUUGUUUGUCACCUCUUUGUCAUUUCUUUAAGGGAUAAAUAAUUAUUUGUUGCAAGUAAAGAUAAUGAGUGUAAUUUUAUCUUUUGAUCCACAACAACCGUUUGAAUUGGUUUGAUGAUGUUUGUCAAAUGCACUAAGUAGAGGCAUUUGUCAAAUGCUAUGAUGAUGUUUUGAUUUUGGGGAGGUCCCAAACUACUAUCUUUAGUUGUAUGAUUAUGUAUACAAAAGAGGAAAUGUAAAUUAGUUGAGUGUUGAAGGUUGAAGAAUACUAGUUGCAAUAGAGGCCUAAUGGUGAGGAGUUGUUGGAUCCAUACUUUUACUUCUACUUCUUUCUGUUUUGAAAACUAUUGCAUCAGUGGUUUCCACCUUUCUUCGUGGGGUUAGCCAUUUUUUCUUAAACUAGCACUUAAUUUUUUGCCUUGGUGGGGGUUGGGGGAUGUUGGGGAUUUUUCUAGUUGUCAAGAGAUUUGAAAUUGCUAUUACUGGAAAGUUUUGAAAUUUCAGUACUUCGCCCUGGAGCUCAGCUGUCCAAAUCUAGAAAUGCGUAAAACUUUGUUCUAAGUUGUUUGAUUUCUAUCAAUAUGAAACUUUUGGGGGUGGUGAAGAAUUUGGUAAUGCUUUAAUGGAUUUGUAGUAUGAUAUCCUUUAAGGCAAGAAAUUUCCUUUCCUUUAUUAGCAAAGUUGUUGCUACCAGUUUACCGUGGUUGCAAUUAUUUGUUCUUUUUGAAGAUUUUGGUAAUGCUUUAAUGGAUUUGUAGUAUGAUGUCCUUUAAGGCAAGAAAUUUCCUUUCCUUGAUCAGCAAAGUUGUCACUACAACCAGUUUAUUGUCGCUGCAAUUAUUCGAUCUUUUUGGAUGCAGAAGAUCUUAUGGAGAUACUCCUCUAAAACCUUCUUUUUGCAUAGCAGGCAUCUUGUUCCAAGGGUUGUGUCAAUGUUGUUCGGUUCUUUUCUUUUUUUUUUUUUAAAUAAGGGUAACAGAAUGUUGUUUGGUUCUUUAAGUUAAUGGAUUCAAUAUUAAUAUGUUGCUUUAGCUGUACUCAAAUGUGCUACAUUGUGAUGUACAAAGAAACGCACCAGAUUAUGUUUUAUGUUUGCAUUUAAUCUUUGCCUGCUGGUUGAAAAUCGCGAAUGAAGAAAGGCUAAUUUAGACUCGCGAACGAUUGCAGUUGAAAAUCGUGGA